UACGGAGGGUGCAAGCGUUAUCCGGAUUCACUGGGUUUAAAGGGUGCGUAGGUGGGCAGGUAAGUCAGUGGUGAAAUCUCCGGGCUUAACCCGGAAACUGCCGUUGAUACUAUUUGUCUUGAAUAUUGUGGAGGUAAGCGGAAUAUGUCAUGUAGCGGUGAAAUGCUUAGGUAUGACAUAGAACACCAAUUGCGAAGGCAGCUUACUACACAACGAUUGACGCUGAGGCACGAAAGCGUGGGGAUCAAACAGG
rnacentral:rRNA from 1 species